ensembl:lncRNA LOC102556363 uncharacterized LOC102556363
CAGCCUUCCGACGAAGAUGUAGAACUCUCGGCUCCUCCUGCACCAUGCCUGUCUGGAUGCUACCACACUUCCUGCCGUGAUGAUAAUGGACUGAACCUCUGAACAUGUGACCUUGUGAGUUUGUGGCAUGUGCCUUUGUGAGGAUCCCUUCCAUUCGCUUCUGCAUACAGGUAGAGUCUGAAUUAUACCACAGCCUAGAGAGCUGAGUGCUAAAAUGUUUGUGUAAACACAGUCUGAGCUAACCGUACUAUAAGGUCACGUGCCAUUGGCCCUUCAGCCCACACAGGCUCUGGGACGUCAAUAAAGACUUGCUGAAUGAUGGAAUAAACUUCUACAGGCCACUGACCCUCUCCUGCCUCCCAAGCCAUCUGCUGCCUCUAUGGACUUCAGGGAGGAUUACAGGGCAUAUCCUUCAGAGAGCUUUCCGGAUUAUAGACACAACUAAAUAAAUGUCAGGCGUCAUUAAGAAUCUCAAAUGAGGCGGGAAGCUUGACUAGUCUGCUCUAUGUUGCUUCGUGUGCUGUUAAUAAUAAAAGCCAACAUUUAUUGAGGGUUUGCUCUGCGGUAGGCACCAAGCCAAGCCCUUGUUCACAGCAGCUUCAGAGGCAGGAGCAGAGGGGUCAAGAGUUAACACAGCCAGUUUGCCUGAGGGCAUCUCUAGGCUCCACCCAGCACUGCUGAGAGUCCCCGACAAUCUCUUGUGCCUUAGUUUUUCCUCUAAAAAAGGGGAGUGGAAGACAAUGCCAGCUUUAACAAAGCUGUGAUUUAUUAAUAACAAAAAUAUGAUUAAUAAUUUGAAAAAUAUUACAGGAAGCAGCAUUAUCAUUUUGUUGCUAUCGGUAAAUCAAAAUGUGUCAAAUACUUAGUGUGGCACUCUGUGUGACACCUGACAAACACUGUGCAGAGGGCUGAGACAUCCUGACUUAUAAAUGGUGGUACAUGAGUUGUAAGUGUGAAGUCCUCUAGCUGUUGAUGGGCGUCUCCCUGACAGCCCCACAACCCAGAGCCCAUGCUCUUUGAGACCCUGCAUUAGCUACUUUACAAUUGACUGGUUCAAAAUACCUGAUAAAAAGCAACUUAAGGAAGAAAGGGUUUGUUCUUGGCUCAUAGUUUGAGGGUACUGUCCAGCAAAACAGGAGUUUGAG